GCUGACACUGGGCGGGAGGCCAUCUGGAGGCCGCCCUCAGGGUCAAGCACUGUGGGAGCAGGCAGGCAGAUUUGGAGGUGCUCUCUUUGCUUCUGUGUGCCUGAGAAUGAUGAUGCUCUAUGGUGCUGGCCUCAGUUUCCCCAUCUGCAAGAGCUUCCCCAGGCAGUUAUCCUGAGCACCCCUGACCUGUCCCUCCAAUGCCUGUGGAAGAUCUCGGCUGAGCCGUGAGACUCAACUACGACCAUCCUUUUGCCCACCUACUGGCACCUCAGGGUGCUGAGCGGGAGGCUUUGAGAAGAGGGAUGAGACCUGCGCAGGAUUCCGGAACAAUGGGAGACAAGCAGGGAAGUCAAGGUGAUGGACCCAGGGACCCCGAGAGCAGGGGCUCCAUGUGCUUCCCUGCCCUGGUCACAGACAGGCUCUGCAGCUCACCCUCAGGUGCCUCCCCGGGCCAUGUGGGCACCUGGGGAAGUCUCUGGGGCCUUGUCACUGUCCACUCCAGUUCUUCUGCUGCAGGACAGGGUUAUCUCUAGGAUGAAGAUACUCAACCUGGAGCAGCAAGGACAGGGGAAUGAGAAGAGAAGUCUGCCAGAACUGCUCAGUGAGUCCCUGAGGAAGAGGACCUGUGUCUCUGCGGUCUGAAUCUCAGGGAGGAGCAGAUGAAUGGGACCCACCCUGCUCAGCUGGAGAGAGAUCAAGGAAGUGAAGUCAAGAAGACCUGGCCCUCAUCCUACUUUCUGCAUCGCAAUGUUGACUUUCCCUCUGUCCACCCAAGGAAGGCUGAUUUGGUUUGAAUGUGUCCCUUGAAAGUUUACGGGUUGGAAACUUGAUCCCUAAGUUAAUCCCCAAGUUAUUGUUCUGCUGGCCUUUGAUGGUGGGGUCUUUGGAGAGCAAUUAGGGUUAGAUGAAGUGGUGAGGGUGGGGUCUGCAUGAUGGCAUCAAUGUCUUUGUGAGACAGGCAGAGAGAUCUGAGCCGGCAUGCAUGUCCUGUCUCACCACGUGAUGCCUUCUAGCAGGGUCCAGCUCCAUAAGAAGUCCUCCCCAGAUCUAGUGCUAUUGGACUUCUGUACAUGACAAUGUGGAUGACUUUCCUUGAAUACAGAACAAUUUCCUCCACUUUUGCUAAACCUGGCCCCAACUCCUUGUACUGAUACGUAAACCAGGCCCUGUCCCCAUGUACUGAUGUGUACAGAGCUGGCUAAGCUGUUCCUUUCUCCUUUCAACUGUCUCUAAGCAAUGCAAACAGGGCUGGCUGAGGUGCUGAUGUGCAGUCUUUGAAGCUGGUGGACAGUUUCCUGAUUCCUCCCCUCCUGUCUCCCUGUAAACUGUUGAGCCCAGUGGAUGGCAGAGCCACAUAGCUCCAGGAAAGUCAACUGGGUUUGAGCUUCAAGAUGAGAGGCCACGAUUUACCAGGGGAGGAAAAGUUUGCACAUUGGAACCGAAGCACCAGUGCCCUAAAUGUUAAAUGUUACCUCAGUUGAGUUAUGCAGAUUGGCCUUUCUGGACACCCUUCUCUUUAUGUAUUGUGGAGGUACAUUCUGACCACCUAGCCAGCUCAGCUCACAUUACUCACCCUCACUCAUCCUUGAGCUACUCCUUUCUUCACAAGUUAAUAAAUCCCAGGUGAGGCCCUGGGUCGAGGUCUUUGUCCCAUGAACCCUCAUCUGGACCAGACUCAGGACCCCACGGCU